CCAAAGACCGUAUUCUGCUUCACCUUACACCACAAAACCUCUCCUCCUCUCAUCAUCCUAUCUACUCCAUGGCCAUAUCCCUCUAGCAAAAACAGUGGCUGAGAUUACGGUGGGCCACUGUCAUCAACGUCCCAGAUGAUCAUGUAGAUGUGUCGGUCUCCAUGGCGCCUGCGGGAGAAAUCAAAGACAUGAUGAAGCUAACCCAGAAGACAUCUUCAAGGUGGCGUUCCCUUCGACGUACCAGAAGAUCCACCCCGGGGUGCUAUCCUAGUUGAGCAAUCACACAAAGCUCUUGGAAUCACUCUCCAUAACAAUUCGUGAGAAGCAUCUAGCAACGGCGAUGGAAAGGCCAUCCAACAGUGCCCUAGCUUCGGCCUUGGAAAAAGGGCUACCAGUGCUUUGCCUACCCAAAAAAAAAAAUGGUGGAUCGCUGGUAGCUGUCUGGUUUCCACAUCUAGAAUUUCGUAUUAGCUGUUGCGCAGUUGUUGAGGUGGAGCUGCUGCUUGUUUGAUGCGGUUCGUUGUCAGACUACAGUGCAAUGGCAAUUUUGUUGUCUGUUGGCCGGUGCGGUCUCUGUCGUGAGGGCGGCAUUGUCUGUGACUUGGAAUAGCAUCGUCUGUGCUUCGCUAUGGCCUUACUAUCUAUCUGAAUCCUCUUUUAUCAUGGAAAAAAGAAAGACUCAAAGAUCAGGAGCUCAGUUGGAUGUUGUUGGGACUGUUUCAAGGCCUGAAAAUUGGGCAAUGCUAGAUUCCCAAGCAACCAGCAAUGUCUUGGAAUUUUGUUUAGCGAGUACAAAACAGGUGAAGGGGCUGGGAUCAUUCUGUGUGUUGAGGAGUGGCUGUUGAACAAGUUUUUCACAUCCUCCCGCUUAGCUAAUGCCAUCAGUGAGAAGGGCUAGCUAUGCGAAGAAGGUACUCUCUAUAUAUGGUGGUUAUGUUUGUGGAGAUCCUGCAUUGUUUCUUUUGUCAUUCUACUGUUGGCCGCUGUAUAGGUUGAGUUUGCGGACGCAGAUCUUGCCGAUGCUCUAUUGGGUGCCCAAAGUGUUGUUGGUUUUUCAUGUUGCCUUAGCCCUUGAUGCAACAAGGGUCUUGAUGGGUGUGAAGAGGAGGUGGUAGCAGUUUUAUUGGAUUGGUGGAGAUUGAUGGAUUUGGCAGGCUGUUUUGUGACUUUGUUUGAAUGCUUCAGGGUUUAUUAUUGUGGAUUGUUUACGGGAUGGCAUGCUUAAGGCAAAGGUGCUGUGAGCUUGGGGUGCCUGAGGCUGGUUUGGUGUGGCUGAGAAAGGUUUUUUGGGCAUGGCCCUGUCCUUGUUUGUCCAUGUUGCGGCUUUGAAUUCUUGUCCUCUUUGGUUUUAUGCUGUAUAGUGGGUUUAUGAUAGGCAAAGGCUGUUUAUUAGUUUUUUGUGGCACCCACCUGAAUGAAUGUAUAACUAUUGUUGUUUUGAGUAACAAAUUUAUACAUGUGAGCUCCCACCCUUUAUCCAGAAAAAGAAAAAAAGGUCAACUAUCUAUGAAUGAUUUAGAAUCAAUCUCUUAGUUGGAAAAAUUCUCAUUAGAGAUUCACUUAAGAGUCUAUUAAAAAAAUGAAAGUGGUGCAGGAGUUGGUCAUUCUAAUAUUUUUUUUAAGUGUGAGUUUUUCUUAAAUAUCAUGAGAGAAUAAAUUUGAUAUUAAUAAAGUUCUCCCCCUUCUCUAUUCUAAUA